GUCUGAAGGAGGGAAGUAGUGGCAGACUUUCACCACAAUUGUGAAAAAUGAGCGGUGUCAACCUGGUGCUGUGAUUGUCUCCAGGACUUGGACCCUCUAAGUCUUAAGGUGUUUUCAAGCAUUAUGAGUGUGGUGCCAUGAGAGAUGCUGUUGUCCAUGAGAGGCUGGGAUUAUUAUGAUCAAGUGCUGUAUUUUGACUUCACCCAGUGGCUUAAAGAUUUGUGGGGUGAAGAAGAAGUGUUGAACUUUUAAGAGAAUUAAACAGGAACCUGGAGCUGGCAAGUUUGGAUCAAAUACAACAGAGUAGAUGCCUCAAAGAUUGGAAUUUCUGCAGAUUUUGUUGAAGUCAAUGGUGAGUACAGGGAGGAGUCCUAGAUCAGUUUUCCAUGGAGGCAAAGGCUGAUGUCUGAGCCUUGUGGACACCUGGGCACAACACCUGUUCAGGUAGGGUGAGAUACACGACUUGUAAUCUUCAGGCCUGUGGGAGGAAA